rnacentral:rRNA from 1 species
UGGGGAAUAUUGCGCAAUGGGCGGAAGCCUGACGCAGCAACGCCGCGUGCGGGAUGACGGCCUUCGGGUUGUAAAACCGCUUUUCAGCAGGGACGAAGCGUGAGUGACGGUACCUGCAGAAGAAGCACCGGCCAACUACGUGCCAGCAGCCGCGGUGAUACGUAGGGUGCGAGCGUUGUCCGGAAUUAUUGGGCGUAAAGAGCUCGUAGGUGGUUGAUCGCGUCGAAAGUGAAAUCUCAGGGCUUAACCCUGAGCGUGCUUUCGAUACGGGUCGACUAGAGGAAGGUAGGGGAGAAUGGAAUUCCUGGUGAGCGGUGGAAUGCGCAGAUAUCGGAGGAACACCAGUGGCGAAGGCGGUUCUCUGGACCUUUCCUGACGCUGAGGAGCGAAAGCGUGGGGAG